CAGAGUUACAAAACUCCCAAACCACUGUAAACCUUACCUAACUUGUUGCUUCGGCGGGGGCUUCUCAUGGGAAGCCACUGCAGCCCGCCAGAAGUCCACUAAAACUAUGUUAUCAUUGGCAUCUCUGAGGUAUUAUAAAAUGAAUCA
rnacentral:misc_RNA from 1 species